AGAAACUUAGGAUAACCUGCCCCAAACCGAAGGCCUUCAAAGCCUUAAAUAAGAGUUAGACCCUCUUAGUUUCUG
rnacentral:tRNA from 1 species